GAUGAAGAACGCAGCGAAAUGCGAUAAGUAAUGUGAGUUGCAGAAUUCAGUGAAUCAUCGAAUCUUUGAACGCACAUUGCGCCCGCCAGUAUUCUGGCGGGCAUGCCUGUUCGAGCGUCAUUACAACCCUCAGGCCCCCGGGCCUGGCGUUGGGGAUCGGCGGAGCCCCCCGUGGGCACACGCCGUCCCCCAAAUACAGUGGCGGUCCCGCCGCAGCUUCCAUCGCGUAGUAGCUAACACCUCGCGACUGGAGAGCGGCGCGGCCACGCCGUAAAACACCCAACUCUUCUGAAGUUGACCUCGAAUCAGGUAGGAAUACCCGCUGAACUUAAGCAUAUCAAUAAGCGGAGGA
rnacentral:misc_RNA from 1 species